rnacentral:sRNA from 1 species
UUGGCGGAGAACGCCGCCGCAGUUUUUGACCUCUAGCGGUGAAGGGGGAAGGGGAAGAGGAAAGGAGAGAAGUGAUGUUAGGGACAGGCUUGAAGAUUCCUGAUGUCUCAGCACCCAGCACGGCUGUCAGCCUCGGCAGGAGGAAGAGCACGGAAAAGAGAGAUGACCAUGUGACAUAGUUCUGGUCAAUGAGGCUUUAGUGAAAGUUUUUCACUGAGCCCUCCAGGAAAACCCCUCUACAAGGAGGCAUACGUAGUGGGUCAAGGACAGGGUGUGGUCUGGAGGAAAUCUAAGUCCGUGGAGACGUAGCCCUCUGGCUCUAACCUGUGAGGACGGGGUUCCCCCUGCCUCGCGGACCCUGCUCUCCAGAGCCAGGGACCCUGGCAGGUGCUUCGGAUGAAAGAGCCGGGAGGAGCCGACUGGCUUUCCUUCCCGCCGGGAUCCGCGAAAACGUGUGGUCGGGACUCCGAGCAGGGAACCCUCAAGGGGAAGAAGAGGCCCCGUGGGGAAAGCGCACCGUGUCAGGGCUGGCACCAGCUCCGUUCUGGAAAAGAAAUCGCGACGGAAAGAGAUGGCAGCCGUGACCUCUGCUCUGUAUUUCCUUCCUCUUCGGAGCAGAAGAUGGAAUUUAGUAGUUUAUUGAGGGGCGGGAGAUCCUGGCUAGGGCAGAGUGUAGCCAUCAUUUUCGGCUCUGACACACUCGAGGGUUGUCAUUCACAUGCGUAAUAGAUACGAAUUCGGAAAAAUCUAGUGGAAAGAAUACUUCUCGCAAUUACUUCGACAAUUCGCAAUUGCUCUAUUAACUUCGUAUCAGGAAUGGUGGGUCACUUUGGACUGUUGUGUAGAUAAGAUAGACUAAGGGUUAAAGGACGUUCAGCCUCCCACCCACCACGAAACACACAGGAGAAAGAGUGAGAGGAAGAGUUAGAAGUGAUUUUAAAUAUAUUGUGAUUGCUAAAGCAAGUCAAUCAUCUCCAAACUGUGGUCUGCUUCAAUUGUUAGUUACAACUGAUUUGUGAAAGACCUCAUAGAAGACUGCCCACACCACGAUGCAUUGAGAAAUUGUUUUCUAGUACAGUGGUCUUUGAAAGCAAUUGCUACCAUCCUCAGAAACUGUGCAGGAUCAUGUAUAGGGAUGAAGAAAAAAACAAAUUGGAGUGCUUUAUUUGUACUUCUUUUCCAGCUUACAAAAAAUAAAGAGAUUAUGCUUCAUUAACAUUUGAUGACUAGAUUAACAG